rnacentral:rRNA from 1 species
CGGAGCUAAUACCGGAUAAUAUAUUGAACCGCAUGGUUCAAUAGUGAAGGACGGUUUUGCUGUCACUUAUAGAUGGAUCCGCGCCGCAUUAGCUAGUUGGUAAGGUAACGGCUUACCAAGGCAACGAUGCGUAGCCGACCUGAGAGGGUGAUCGGCCACACUGGAACUGAGACACGGUCCAG